rnacentral:rRNA from 1 species
UACAGAGGUCUCAAGCGUUGUUCGGAAUCACUGGGCGUAAAGGGCGCGUAGGCGGCCGUUCAAGUCGGGGGUGAAAGCCUGUGGCUCAACCACAGAAUUGCCUUCGAUACUGGACGGCUCGAGACCGGAAGAGGUCAGUGGAACUGCGAGUGUAGAGGUGAAAUUCGUAGAUAUUCGCAAGAACACCAGUGGCGAAGGCAGCUGACUGGUCCGGUUCUGACGCUGAGGCGCGAAAGCGUGGGGAGCAAACAGG